rnacentral:piRNA from 1 species
UGACAAGGGUGAGCUGGUCAGUGACGAGGU